rnacentral:misc_RNA from 1 species
AAAAACCUUUCGGGCUUCGCGCCCGGUGUUGGAGCUCCGCCUAGUCCCUAGGUGGUCUCUGAAAGCUAGUGGCGUCGCUGUCAGUUGGUCUUUGCGAGGUAAAAUAAUCCGCUCAUGACCGCUGGCCGCGGCUGCCUUGUGUCUCCUGG